rnacentral:rRNA from 1 species
UUUAGCUUAUCGAUACUAAUAGGUCGAGGACUUGACCAAUAUUAUUUGAUGUUAUUCAUUAAGAUAUAUGUGCAGUUUUUAGAGUGUUAACUCUAUGUAAAGUACUAACUUCAAUUGAUGAAGUAUAUAUCGUAAAAACAAUUACUAUUUAGUACUUCAAAACUAUUGACAUUUAAAAAUAAAGAUGUUAAUAUAAUACUUGUCUUAUAAAUAGGCAAUAUGUGGUUAUAAUAGCAAAGAGGAUACACCUGUUCCCAUUCCGAACACAGAAGUUAAGCUCUUUAGCGCUGAUGGUACUUGGUGGGAAACUGCCUGGGAGAGUAGGACGUAGCCACGUGAAUAUUCCAAGGUAGCUCAAUGGUGGAGCAACCGGCUGUUAACCGGUAGGCUGUGGGUUCGAGCCCCACCCUUGGAGCCAAAAAAAGCCGAAGUGGCGGAACUGGCAGACGCACAGGACUUAAAAUCCUGCGGGACUUACCUCUCGUACCGGUUCGAUUCCGGUCUUCGGCACUUAUAAAACAAUAUCGCGGAGUGGAGCAGUUGGCAGCUCGUCGGGCUCAUAACCCGAAGGUCGUAGGUUCAAGUCCUGCCUCCGCAACCAUUAAAAUGGCUCGUUGGUCAAGAGGUUAAGACACCGCCCUUUCACGGCGGUAACAGGGGUUCAAUUCCCCUACGAGUCACCAAUUNGCCCGGAGAUAGCUGGUUCUCCCCGAAAUAGCUUUAGGGCUAGCCUCAAGGUGAGAGAUACGGAGGUAGAGCACUGAAUGUCCUAGGGGGUAUUGCACCUACCGAAGACUAUCAAACUCCGAAUGCCGUCAUCUUAUACUUGGGAGUCAGACUGUGGGUGAUAAGAUUCAUAGUCGAAAGGGCAACAGCCCAGAUCGUCAGCUAAGGUCCCUAAAUGUAAGUUAAGUGGUAAAGGAUGUGGGAUUGCACAGACAACCAGGAUGUUGGCUUAGAAGCAGCCACUCAUUCAAAGAGUGCGUAAUAGCUCACUGGUCGAGUGAUCCUGCGCCGAAGAUUUCCGGGGCUAAAACUUACUACCGAAGCUACGGCAUCAGUAAUGAUGGGUAGGGGAGCUUCCCAUACGGGUUGAAGCAUGACCGUAAGGACAUGUGGACAGUAUGGGAGUGAGAAUGUUGGCAUGAGUAGCGAGAUGUGGGUGAGAAUCCCACAGGCCGUAAACCCAAGGUUUCCAGGGGAAGGUUCGUCCGCCCUGGGUUAGUCGGGACCUAAGCUGAGGCCGAAAGGCGUAGGUGAUGGACAACAGGUUGAUAUUCCUGUACUACCGAUAACCGUUUGAGAGAAGGGAUGACACAGUAGGAUAAGCUAAGCACACUGUUGGUUAUGUGUGCCCAAGCAUUGAGGCAGUCAAAGUAGGCAAAUCCGCUUUGAUAAUGCUGGGAUGUGAUGGGGAGCGAAAUUUAGUAGCGAAGUAGCUGAUUUCACACUGUCAAGAAAAGUCUCUAUCGAGGUUAAAGGUACCCGUACCGCAAACCGACACAGGUGGGUGAGGAGAGUAUCCUAAGGCCAGCGAGAGAACUGUUGUUAAGGAACUCGGCAAAAUGACCCCGUAACUUAGGGAUAAGGGGUGCCACCAUCAGGUGGCCGCAGAGAAUAGGCCCAAGCGACUGUUUACCAAAAACAUAGGUUUCUGCUAAGUCGCAAGACGAUGUAUAGGAGCUGACGCCUGCCCGGUGCUGGAAGGUUAAGGGGAUCUGUUAGAGCAAUCGAAGCAGUGAACUUAAGCCCCAGUAAACGGCGGCCGUAACUAUAACGGUCCUAAGGUAGCGAAAUUCCUUGUCGGGUAAGUUCCGACCCGCACGAAAGGCGUAACGAUUUGGGCACUGUCUCAACAACAGACUCGGUGAAAUUGUAAUUCCGGUGAAGAUGCCGGAUACCUGCGACAGGACGGAAAGACCCCAUGGAGCUUUACUGUAGCUUGACAUUGGGUCUUGGUACUACAUGUACAGGAUAGGUGGGAGGCUUUGAAACCAGGACGCCAGUUUUGGCGGAGCCAUCCUUGGGAUACCACCCUUGUAGUACUGGGACUCUAACCAUAGGCCAUGAAUCUGGUCUUGGGACACUGUCAGGUGGGCAGUUUGACUGGGGCGGUCGCCUCCCAAAAGGUAACGGAGGCGCUCAAAGGUUCUCUCAGUACGGUCGGAAAUCGUACGUAGAGUGUAAAGGCAAAAGAGAGCUUGAUUGCAAGACAUACAGGUCGAGCAAGGAUGAAAAUCGGACUUAGUGAUCCGGUGGUUCUGCGUGGAAGGGCCAUCGCUCAACGGAUAAAAGCUACCCUGGGGAUAACAGGCUUAUCUCCCCCAAGAGUCCACAUCGACGGGGAGGUUUGGCACCUCGAUGUCGGCUCAUCACAUCCUGGGGCUGUAGUAGGUCCCAAGGGUUGGGCUGUUCGCCCAUUAAAGUGGUACGCGAGCUGGGUUCAGAACGUCGUGAGACAGUUCGGUCCCUAUCCGUCGCAGGCGUAGGAAAUUUGAGAAGACCUGUCCUUAGUACGAGAGGACCGGGAUGGACGUACCUCUGGUGUACCAGUUGUCCUGCCAAGGGCAUGGCUGGGUAGCUAUGUACGGAAUGGAUAAGCGCUGAAAGCAUCUAAGCGCGAAGCCAACUUCAAGAUAAGAUUUCCCACCGCAAGGGUAAGACCCCAGAAAGACUAUCUGGUUGAUAGGUCGAAGGUGUAAGUGCAGUAAUGUAUUUAGCUUAUCGAUACUAAUAGGUCGAGGACUUGACCAA